rnacentral:tRNA from 1 species
UCUCUGAUGGUCCAGUGGUUAAGACGUUGCCUUCCAAUGCAGAGGAAGCAGGUUUGAUCCCUGGUCGGGGAG